GGCCUGUGAUACAUCAAAAUGCACAACUCCCUUGGUUCCUCUUUGAACCCUGGCCAGUUUUGGGGGGGGAAACCAACAGGAGAAAGAGAAAACCUGAUGUUCUACUUGACUGUCGCAUAGAUUUGUUUAUUCAGUGGACUUUAGAGACCUCAACUACAAAGUGGAUGCACUGCUGUAGGGCUUCCCAAUUGCCAAGACAGGUUCUCCAAAUCCUCGCUGCAACUGGGGCACCACAACGACUGUGGAUCUGGAUGACGGGCACCAUUUUUGCAGCUGCUCCUGCAAAUAUCUCCCUACAGUGCAAUCCGAUUUUCCUUGUACAUAUCAAAUGAAGUGUAAAGUAGUGAAAGAUACAGAAAUGAGCAGAGUUCUGACACCCUGUGGGUAAGACACUGAAGUCAUUUUCAUUUGUCAAGUAGGUGAUGUAACAGCUAAAUGAAAACCUCUUAGCAAAACCUGAGACAUCCAGUUUCUUUAUAUACUCAAACCAGGCUCUGCUCCUUUGUGUUCAUUCCCUAUCUUUUCAAAAUGCUUACAGCUCUCAGUAAUGUCUAUUGGCAUAAAGUCUUAGGGUCAGCAUCAAAUCCCAUUAAAAUAAUCUGAAAGACUCCUUUUGAGUUCAGUGGGUUUUAAAUAAGACUCUUAUUAGACUCACCUUGUAGAGUAAUAAAUAUUCAUAGAUGGAUGAAAGAACAGAAAAUCUCUCCAGUAGUUUUGAGUCCAGCAAAAAGAUCAUUUCCUUGGUGAAGGAUAAUUCCCUUGUUGACCAAGAAAGUCUCAUGGGCCAGGAUGAAAGUCUGUGCUUUAGGGAUAUGCAGGAUAUAAUCGGGUAAAAAAGGUAAUAAAAAGAAUAUAACUGUAGAAGCACAUAACAGAAUUUAUAAUGAAAUACCUGCAAGAUAUUCAGGUGUCUUAUUUUUUUCUUUAAGCUAAAUGCAACUGGAAUUUUUGUGAAUGUUAACUGAUUGUUUCUAACAAAUCACUUUGCCACUAAAUAGCAUGUUGGCACAGCUUCAGUAAUCAAAUUAAAGCAAGGUAAUUUUUAAUUCUGCUUCUAGUGUCUCCCGCUAAACAAGCAACUCCUCUCCAUUUAUGUUAUGCAGCUGCCAAUGCUAUAAUCUUGUUCAGCCUCUUGUGGUAUAAUAAAGUCUUACUGACAGGACUGAAUUCAAUGUUUUCUGUUUUACAUAAUAAGAUUCAGACUGGUGAGUUUGAGUGGAGGCCUGGCUGGAAAACCUCAGUGUGCUUUCUCAAUAUAUGGACUAUUUUUUAUGCAGAGUGAGUUAGAGAAGCAAAGACAGAGGUUUGAGAGAAGUGGAAAUUAAGACAUCACCAGAUGCUAAGAAACUUGGACAUUCAGGUAGUGGAGACUUCACUUUUGGUACAAGUCAAAAGGAGUCUCAAGGUGCAGAAAUUGCACUACUAUCACAGUAGUUUCAUAUUAGUACUUAAAACACACUUUAUAAAAAGAUGAAGUGUUUCUGAAAUGCUGACUUGACAGAAUGGUGGCAAACUCUAAGGACAUCAUUUGUUCACACAGGGAAAAGGCAUUAUAUGAUGUUUUCUGCUGCAAUUACUCUGACUACAGUACCAUACUCUACAUACAGUACAGUGUAGUGAGCAGGACUAUGGAAGUAAUCCUGCUCCUGUACUCAGCACUGGUGAGGCCUCACCUCAAGUACUGCGUUCAGUUUUGGGCACCUCAGUACAAGAAGGACAUGAAGGUGCUGGAGCAGGUCCAAAGAAGGGCAACAAGGCUUGUGAAGGGCUUGAAAAAUAUGCCCUCUGAGGAGCGACUGACAGAACUGGGGCUGUUUAGUCUGGGGAAGAGGAGGCUGAGGGGAGACCUUAUUGCUCUCUUCAAAUACUUGAAAGGUGCUUGCACAGAGAGCAGGGCUGGUCUCUUCUCACUGGUGACAAGUGACAGGACGAGGGGAAAUGGCCUCAAGUUGUGCCAGGGGAGGUUUAGACUGGAUAUCAGAAGAAUUUCUUUACAGAAAGGGUUGUUAAGCACUGGAAUAGGCUCCCCAGGUUCCCAGGUGGUUGUGUCGCCAUCCCUGAAUGUGUUUGAAAUCCAUUUGGAUGUGGUGCUCGGGGACAUGAUUUAGCAGAGGGUUGUUAGUUAGGGUAGUAUGGUUAGGUUGCAGUUGGACUUGAUGAUCUUGAAGGUCUUUUCCAACCUAAGCAACUCUAUGAUUCUAUGAUUCUUUGAUUCUACCAUCCAAUGACAUGGAAAGAAAGAAUCAAUCCAAUAGACUUUAUAUAGACCUAAACCCACCUUGGUGGCUUAGCUGGUGGACAAGGUCUUUGUAUGCGUACUCAAAGAGCAAGACAAGGUUAUCAACAAGGCUUCAGAAAUUGCUGAGGUUUCUUUUGGCAUAACCUUGUAUGUUAUAGUAGUAACAAAAUACUCAGUGCAUAGCCAUGCAUUUUGCAGUACUGGCCCAGGGUGUAGUUGUUUUUGUCACUUAGUGUCAUUCAUUUAAUGUAAAUACUAUACACUUAUGUAAGAAUAUGUUUUAAUUGUAUAGAAAAAGACGGAAAAUAUUAAGUUAUAACAUGCCUAAGGAGCUAAAAACUGUAAUGCACAUACAUUGCAGAAAUAAAAACUUUUUUUUCUUGUUAUUGUCCCAGAUAUUACCCCUUUGGUGGAAUCAACUAGACUAAUAAGUACAUUGUGUGUAAAUGCAGUAUUAAAAUAUGGUGUGACUAUUUAAAUGUACAGUCAUAGAGCGUCCAUACCAAUAGAAAGAAGAACUUAAAUCACACUAAUUAUCUCGAUAUCUGCUGGUCUUAGCAGAAAGAGAAAGCAGCAAAGGAGUGUGUACAAACUACUUUGUCAGCUAUAGGCAUUCACCCCUACAAGUAGACAUAAAGUGCAUAGGUAGAAUGAGAACAUGACACUUCUGUAGUUGCCUGCACCAUGGACUAGAUAACAGGUGCUCUCAAUCACUGCAUAUCUGUUCAGUGUCUUUCUAAGGACACUAUUUUCAAAACCCUGUCUGAAAAGAAAAGCCCAAAUUCCAGGAGUCUUUUUAACAGUAACCAGUGAUCUGAAGCAACACAUUUCACAGUUAUUCUUAGAGGUAACACUCUCUUUAUUAUUAUUUUUCAUUGAAAAAAUCAAGACAAAAAUGCUGAAAAGCAUUAAUAAACAUCCCACCAUAGUUUCUCAGACAGAUCUAAUCAGUAUGAUCUCAAUUUAUUAAAAAAAUACCAGUAGUAUAACGUCAUCUUUUAGGUAAAGCCCUCAGUUGUCCAGGCUUACAAACAAAUAUGGGUAAACACACUAAAUUGAGAGCUUAUUUAAUUAAGCUUAGUUUGACUUUCUCAUUUGGUAGGUUCAGGAUUCUAAAUUGAUGUAUUCUAUAGUUUGCUGUGAGACAUUUCAAUUUUAAGUAUUUCUGCCUGUCAGUGCUGAAGGUUAAUUAUAGUUUCCAUGAUGUCUUCUCAUGAUGAGUAAAAGUUAAACUGCAAUAAAAGAAUGGUACCAAUAAUCCUCUAAAGAAAAGGUCUUUAUGCAUUGAAGUAAGCAACUUUUUUUUGUUAUCUUAGAAGACAUUGUUGCUAUAAGACCAGCUGUGGCCUCUCCUGUUCCUGUGAAGUCAGAGAAUUGUAAUUGUUAUUAGGCCUCUGAGCACUUAAACCACAGUAUUUUACAGAAUUCUGUGCUCAUUGACAUAAGCAUUCUCAAACAUAGGAGAAAAAUUAUGAGAAACCAAGGGAAUGGACUAACAGUAUUUGUUAGAACAUUACGUACAAAGCAGUACUGUUGCUCUGGACUUUUUUUCUGGUAUGAAAAACUUUGAUGCCAAUGCUUCACAUUCAUCACACAGUCACUGAUCAAUAGAUUAUGAGUAGUCAGAACCCAGCUUUCCACACUGCUUGAUUUUCAGCUGAAGUAAACCCUCAGUCAGGCCAAAUCUCCUCCAUUACUUUUUCAGCUGUGAUGAAAUGUCAGCUGCAUUUAGCUUUGUCUCAGAGAACAUUACCUCCUCAAAAUGUGGAAAACCACCAUGAGGCAUUACCACAAUACGGACAGAACACCUGAGGCUGCAAAGACAAAGUCUGCUUUUUAUCUCACAGUGGUAAAAUUCAUGUGACAAUAGUUCACAUUAUAAACCUUGAAGAAAACUAGAUUAAUUGAAUUUUUAUUAAGAACAGUGUGAAAGAAAAACAAAAAGGAAAUACCAAUAGGGGUACAAGACCUAGCUUGGCAAAAAGGAAGCUAUUACAGUUUAGUGGGCUCUGCAGAAUACUGAGGAUAUCUAGGGUGAGUCUAAAUGGAAUCAUAAAGACAUGAAAAAUAGGGAGAUUAUGUGCUAAAUUUACUGAUUUUGUAAGAAGUGUUUCUGAAAUCCAAGUGAAGUUAGAGAUAAGUAUCGUGAUUGAGCUUGACGUGUUUGUAUCAAUCAUUUUCACUGUUGGUAGUUCCUGAAAAAUUAGUCCAACUGGGGAGUUUACAUGUUCUGAUCCCAAAUUAUUUCAUAAUAUUAAAUAUGUCUUUGCAGGUGUGUUUAUUUCCCUAUUCCUUAAAGGACAACUAAACUAUGGCAAUUUAUCCUGGAAAGAAAUGUAGGAUUUAAUUUUUUUAAUUUCCCCGUUUUACCACCCCCAUAAAACAAUUAAAAGCUUUCUGUUCUUGAGGAAUUCUGAGCAGAAGCCAAGCAUUCAGAAUAUUCCAUCUUUACUUAGAGUUCUUGUGGCGUUCCGUAGCUAUUUAAGUUAUUGUACUUCUGAAGCUGAACAUUAAAUAUGUCUUGCAUGGAAAUAAAUGUGUAUAAAACCUACAAAUACCAUAAACACUUUCAGAAAAUAAUCUAUAAAUUUCACUGUAUUAGUUUUUAUGCACAAAUUACUGAGAAAGCUAUUUUUCUAGAUAGGCCUGAGUCUCUAUCCAUGACAUUCAAGGUCAUCUUUUAUUUUUCUCUGGCAUUUGUACAAAUGCUGAAACAGAAAUUCAUUUAAAAUUACUUCAUACCAUGAAUUAAUAGAAUGGUAAGGUGGUGUUGGUAGAGAUUUAGGCAGUGUGAUUUGGUGCUUAAUCUUCUGUGGCCAUAUUGCUGAGUUUUAAAACCAUUCUGGAACCAGCUCUGAGACCACACAUCUAAGCCUAAAAUAUUUUCUUCUUGUUCUUGUUCUAGAGUAGGAUGUAUGUUGCUCCUAUACCUGAAGAUCAGAAAUUUAUUGCUGCCUUUGGAGAUGACUCUUCAACAAGAGACAUAUCUUGUCAAGUUGUGAACAAAGGAAGAAGACGUAAUAAAGAGAAGGAAGACCAAACAAAGUGAAUGAGAACAUCAUGAAGACAUACAGCACACAUUUUCCUCAAAAAACCUUGUUUUGUUUUGUCCAUGAUUAUGUCUAAAAACAAUUUAUUUUACAAAAUCCUGUAAAAGAGAAUACCAUGAGCAAAAAACAAACAAAAAAAUGUGUUGCAUGACUGGAUGUUGGUCGUACUUUUGUCAAGCUUUUUGCUUCUUUUUCAGUUACCUAAUUAGGUCAUCAGACAGUAUACAGUGUGACCACAGAAAUAAAAAUAUACCAGCCCUAAGGCACUAAUGGUAAAUUAUGAAUUCUCAGAGAAGAUAUUACAAGAAGUGUCCAAAGGAACCACAGGCUUAAAAACUUGUUUGCAUAAGUGAUGACUCACCAUUAUAAAUAAUUAAUACCACCACAGAAAUCUACAUAUGAGAAAUAUAAAGACUAUGACCUAAACUUGAGAUCAGCUUUUCUAAAUAACAGUACAUUUAAUUAAGGCAACAGUUACUUUGAAAACCUUGUGGAAUUUGAGGAAUCCUAUUAGUCCUCCAUUUGUAAUGUUAUUACAACAAUAAUGUCCUAUUAUUACAAUUAAUUACCAUGUAUGAUUAUUAAUUAUUACUAAAAUUGGAAUGUAAUACUUUGUUACACUUUAUUUUUAAUCCUACUAUAUUCUAUCUCAUCCCUUUCCAGAACUGAAUGCACACAACUAAGAUGAGUCACAAGUACUAGUAUGGUUAAAUGCUAUCUUCAACUGUGUUUCCAUUGAAGGAAAAUAGUUUGCUGGAUAUUAGUUAUUUUUUAUGCAGGAACAAUGGAUUCAAAAUCAUCAGGAUCAGUAACAUCAGUCAGGUGCACAGUAUGAAACAUGGGCACUCAUUUCUCUCACCAUUUUGCUGAGAUGCAAAAUGAGUUAUAAAUAUCUGAAUUCAGAACAGAUCUGUAGUUAUUAUAGAACACAACCUCCAAUUUUGAAUAUGUAAAGUAACCGGUAUCUUUAACAGAUCUGAUAAUGCUUUGAUUUGUGUGCGUUGAAGUAGGAUCAGGACAUACCUUUGCAUGAACUGACUAUGCAAAGUUCAAUGCCCAUGAGAAACCAGUCUGCUAUUUGUUAGCCCGAAAAAUGGUAUUUAAGAUAGGCCAAAUGUGACGACAGUAUAAAGGUAACUGUCAGGGCCAUGGGAACUAGCACUGACUGCUGUGAAAAUAUCUGUAGGAGGACUCACAGAGGACCUUCUCCCUCCUUCUCUCAGAAGCUUGAUUUAAGUUUUGGUUCAGG
ensembl:lncRNA